UACGGGGGGAGCAAGCGUUGUUCGGAUUUACUGGGCGUAAAGGGCGCGUAGGCGGUCAGCACAAGUCAGUUGUGAAAUCUCCGGGCUUAACUCGGAAAGGUCAACUGAUACUGUGCGACUAGAGUGCGGAAGGGGCAACUGGAAUUCUCGGUGUAGCGGUGAAAUGCGUAGAGAUCGGAAAGAACACCAACGGCGAAAGCACUCUGCUGGGCCGACACUGACACUGAGAGACGAAAGCUAGGGGAGCGAAUGGG
rnacentral:rRNA from 1 species